GGAAAGGCGGGACUUAGCUCACGUGUCAAUCAUCAUCUAUGAUGCAGCGGAAUGAAGCAAGAGACAAACUUGACUGAGACUGGGAGAAAUAACCUCAAUUUUUGUGUUAUUGUGUGCGUCUAUGACUGAUUUGCCACACAUCUACCCACAGAUUCUCGACCUCCCACUCAUGUACAUCUUCAGUGUUCAAUAAAUCCCUUUGAUUUAAUCUGAUUGCCUUGAUCCAUUCCUGUGUUCUGAUCGACACACCAAGAGGAAGGCUAGAGACAUUAGAAUCACCUUAGAAUACAAUCCUUCUUCACCUCCUUAACACUUAAAGAUUUCUGAAGAACAGCCAUGGAUAAUCCAGGUAACAACACACAGAUUUAAGAAUGAAAGUGCAAAGAAGUGCAAGUACUGCCAGUGCAGCAGAUGAAGAGAUUGAAAAGAUCAUCAAAAGACGGCUGCAGCUCGCUUCGGACAGAGAUGGGGGAAGAAAAGAGCGGGCCUGAAAGCAAUCAAGUUCUACCAAAGAGUACGCUUACUUGAGGAGGCUCCUGGCGUUUUCUUGUUUGUUUUUUCAUUACACUUUUUUUUUUAAUGUUUCAAAUAUGUUUCAAAUAAAUUGUCCUAUCACUCAUUGGUCAAGAAUGGUGAAUAAAACAAAUUCAUAAGUAGAAAAGGGGUUUAAAUAAUAAAUCAGCUCCAUAGUGAAUUCAAAGUGAUCAAGGGCUUAGUGCGUUUCAUUUAAACCUUAUGCACGAGUUCUGUCAGUAGUGGGCACUCAUGCAAUGGAAGCAAUCAGUGACACACAUCCGAGUCCACGAGACGGAGGGAAGUUAGCGAGUGAAGGGCAUAAAAAUUUGGAGUGGAAUGCAGCCUAGGUCAGCCGACUCACAAUUAUAGCUUCAUUAUAUAUAAACAUUACUUUGAUAUUAUAUGUGUAGAACAGUUUAUUAAAAUUAUAUUAUAUGUUAGAUUAUCCAAGGUUACUCACCAUGGAAUGAAGUUCUUCUGGUCUUCUGGCAAUUAGCAGCACAAAAAGCCCACCAGAUGUCGUCAUUAGAUGUCAAAGCUAUAAUAUGUUAAAGGGUUAGUUCACCCAAAAAUGAAAAUAAUGUCAUUUAUUACUCACUUAUUACAGACCUUCGUUGAUCUUCAGAACGCAAAUUAAGAUAUUUUUGUU